rnacentral:ncRNA from 1 species
ACUAAAGCGUUGAUUGAGAGUAGUAGUAUCAAUUCGAUAUUAUAGAGAGUCUUUGUUGGUGGAAAUAAGACAUAGAGGAUUGUUGUGAAUGGACUCAUGAGUGCGGCCCGAUAUGUAGGCGCCGACGAGAUAUCUCACUCGUUACAAAGGAGACAUGUAUGAUGGUACAUGAAAUAAGUGGGUAUUUAAUACCAAUUUAGGUGGCACCGCAGGAGAUAUAUCUCUUGUCCUAUAU